rnacentral:lncRNA from 1 species
ACCCAAAGGCUCUCGGAGUGAAAAUCAUGUGAUAAAUGGGACCAAUCAAAGUGGGAGCGUUUUCUCCGGAGGGAAGCUUGGGGAGACUUUCAGGAAGGGGCCGGACCAGUGCCAUUCAACACGCCAUCGGAGUUUCCACCCAGAGAAGCUGAGACUUCGCCGACUGCCUGACAUCUUUCACUUUGAGCUGGAUAACUGUAGUGUCUUUCCAAAGUCACUGCCUCGAAACACCAGCUUGUCAGACUCUGGACUGUCUCCCAGCAAAGCACUGGCCUUCACAGAGCCCCGCAAGAGCAGCUCACUACAUGGAUUUCAUGGUUGGCUAAGAGGCCAGGAGGAGAAGUUUGAAGAAUGCCGCAGCCCACGGUUCAAUUGCUGAGAGCCGAGUGAACAACCAGUCGCAAUUCCAAAUUCUACAGCAGAGGGUGAGAAUUCCUACUGAGGCGAGGUGACGUCUGAAAGCAGAACCCGGUGGUCAACGUCAAGUCACCCGACCUCACCGAGUCGACAAAUAUUUGUUGGGCAUCUGGCGUGUGCCGCUGCAGUCAACGAGAAAGUCCGGGGAGCUUUCGUUCUCGUAGGGGAGGUUAACGUAAACGCUAAUAAAUACCAUAAAAAUGAUCA